UACGUAGGGGGCAAGCGUUGUCCGGAUUUAUUGGGCGUAAAGAGCGUGUAGGCGGCCUGAUAGGUCAGCUGUGAAAACUCGAGGCUCAACCUCGAGACGUCGGUUGAAACCAUCUGGCUAGAGUCCGGAAGAGGAGAGUGGAAUUCCCGGUGUAGCGGUGAAAUGCGCAGAUAUCGGGAAGAACACCCGUGGCGAAGGCGGCUCUCUGGGACGUUACUGACGCUGAGACGCGAAAGCGUGGGGAGCAAACAGG
rnacentral:rRNA from 1 species